UGGGGAAUUUUGGACAAUGGGCGAAAGCCUGAUCCAGCAAUGCCGCGUGUGUGAAGAAGGCCUUCGGGUUGUAAAGCACUUUUGUCCGGAAAGAAAUCCUUGGCUCUAAUACAGUCGGGGGAUGACGGUACCGGAAGAAUAAGCACCGGCUAACUACGUGCCAGCAGCCGCGGUAAUACGUAGGGUGCAAGCGUUAAUCGGAAUUACUGGGCGUAAAGCGUGCGCAGGCGGUUUGCUAAGACCGAUGUGAAAUCCCCGGGCUCAACCUGGGAACUGCAUUGGUGACUGGCAGGCUAGAGUAUGGCAGGAGGGGGGUAGAAUUCCACGUGUAGCAGUGAAAUGCGUAGAGAUGUGGAGGAAUACCC
rnacentral:rRNA from 1 species